UUUUCAUAUUUACCCAUAUGGAAGGCAUGGAUACAUAUUUAUUUAUUUUUAUAACCUUCUCACUUUGGGGAGAUUUCUGAUAUCGUCUUUUUAUUCAAGAUUUUUGAAGCUUAAUAUUUAUGCAAUUUGCAAAUUAUGUAAAAUAAUUUUAAAAAUACAAAUUCAUUAGGAGGGAAGAUUAACCGUUUGUCUGACAACUGUAAAAAGUUACAAUGAAAAUGUAUUAAAUUUUUUUUUUUGAGGCAAUUUGAGUUAAAUCAUUUUGUCCAUCAAAUAAAAUAUUAAUUUGUCAGUUUAACCUGAAAAAAGGUGAGUUUUCAGUGGAUAGAUGCUUGUUCACAGUGCAGGAGGUUUUUGUACGGCCACUUAAUGAGUUUGUAUCACUGUGGUGGACUUUUGGUGGAGGAACCAAACUCAUCAUUAACUCUGGCCCCAUGGUCAGGCCCUCCGUCUCUCUGCUUCCCCCCUCCUCUGAGCAGCUCUCCGGGGGCUCGGCCACGCUGGCCUGCCUUCUGUCCGGCUACUCUCCUCAGGGAGCCGUGGUGAGCUGGCAGGUGGACGGCACAGAGGUGACAGAGGGAGUCCUGAGCAGCUCAGAGGAGGAGAAGAGCGGACUCUACAGCAGCAGCAGCACCCUGAACCUGAGCCAGGAGCGCUGGAUGCAAGGAGAGCUGUACUCCUGCAGGGUCCUCCAUCAUGACCACAGCCAGACCCAGUCCCUCCACAGGAGCCAGUGUAAGGGCUAGAGGAGCUGGCUGAAGCCCAGGACGGGAGCUCUGUGUGGGGGAGCAGCAGGAACACACCUGCUGCUCUGAUCAAUAUGAGUUUGAGUCUUUGUAAACUAAAGCUUUGUGUGACGGAGAACAACAAUUUAGAGAUUAAAGUUCAGCAGCUAGAUGUGAGUGUGUUUAAUAACUGUCAUGUUGAUGAUUGAUGUUCUUGCUAAUAAAGCUUUCACUGAUGAAUUACA